rnacentral:tRNA from 1 species
UCUUGUUGGUAAAGAAUCUGCCUGCAAUGCAGGAGAUCCAGGUUCAAUCCCUGG